rnacentral:tRNA from 2 species
AUUUAUAUAGUUUAUAAAAACAUUUCAUUUUCAAUGAAAAAAUAGAUAUUAUAUCUUAUAAAUA